AGCAGCCGCGGUAAUUCCAGCUCCAAUAGCGUAUAUUAAAGUUGUUGCAGUUAAAAAGCUCGUAGUUGAAUUUCGAGAUCAAAUUGUUGGUCGUGCCUUGGUACGUACUGGCAUUAUUGGUUUCCCCCUUCUGAAGAACCAUGAUGUCAUUAAUUUGGUGUCAUGGGGAAUCAGGACUGUUACUUUGAAAAAAUUAGGGUGUUUAAAGCAGGCUCGCGCUUGAAUACAUUAGCAUGGAAUAAUGAAAUAGGACGUUUAAUUCUAUUUUGUUGGUUUCUAGGAUUGACGUAAUGAUUAAUAGGGAUAGUUGGGGGCAUUAGUAUUCAAUUGUCAGAGGUGAAAUUCUUGGAUUUAUUGAAGACUAACUACUGCGAAAGCAUUUGCCAAGGAUGUUUUCAUUAAUCAAGAACGAAAGUUAGGGGAUCGAAGACGAUCAGAUACCGUCGUAGUCUUAACCAUAAACUAUGCCGACUAGGGAUCGGAUGAUGUUAAUUUUUAAUGACUCAUUCGGCGCCUUAAC
rnacentral:rRNA from 1 species